UACGUAGGGCGCAAGCGUUAUCCGGAAUUAUUGGGCGUAAAGAGCUCGUAGGCGGUUUGUCGCGUCUGCCGUGAAAGUCCGGGGCUCAACUCCGGAUCUGCGGUGGGUACGGGCAGACUAGAGUGAUGUAGGGGAGACUGGAAUUCCUGGUGUAGCGGUAAAUGCGCAGAUAUCAGGAGGAACACCGAUGGCGAAGGCAGGUCUCUGGGCAUUAACUGACGCUGAGGAGCGAAAGCAUGGGGAGCGAACAGG
rnacentral:rRNA from 1 species